AAUGCGAUGAUUUAAAAUCGAAGCCAGUAUUUAUUUACAGUUCACAGAUUACAGUCUAGUUUCCAGCUUGGGAAAAUCGUCUAGUAUAUUACAAAAGCAAAAGCUCUUCAAUCAAUUAAAGUUUAGAUAAAAUUUUUAUUUCAUCUUUUGCUAGUUACUCCACCAACACCACUCCAACCUUUUGCUUUCCUCCCUCAGCCAACCACCACCACUAUCUCCAAUAUCUCCAAUGAUUUAACUAUCAACUCCACCACCACUUGCUCUCCACCCAACAAAUGCAAUAUUCACUCUCAUUUCAAUUUCAUCCAAAAGUUCAGAGGAUCAAUUCCAGUUCAGCCGAAACUCUCAAGUUUCUAUCCACUGAUUCAAACACCACAGCAGCCAACAUCAAUUACAAGCCUAAAUUUCUCAUUGAAUUCAAUAGCAACAAACAGCCACCAACACCAAGCAUAGCAGGUAUAUACUUAGCUCAGCUCCAGUUCAUACAUCAUAUCAUCAAGCAUAUGUUAAAAAGGAAAUACUAAGUUUACAACGAGUAUAUAUAUAUAUGCACACAGGGACUUGGCAAUCGAAAUCAGUUUAUGCUAUAUUUUCUUAUCACGCGAGGCAAGCAAGGAAAAUUCUUGAUACAUUAGUAAACCACGAACUUAGUUUUAUCUCUUGCAUAAUACAGAAAUCAGUAUAUUUUCUUCACUUAAGAUAAAGGCAAUGAGAAAACUCUCAUAAAUCAGUAGCAAAAACCAAGACUCCACAUAGACUUAAGUAUUGAACUUAGCUGUAGAAGGGCUGACUGCCCGACGGGGACGGGGACGACGACGACGGUCGGGACAGGGCGAACUCGUCCAACCUCACCAGAGCCCCGAACAGCAGCUGCCCGGCGACGAGCUGAGACUCGUGCGCAGCAGCAGCGGUCGCUCGACAGUUGCGUUUUUCCCUUUUUCUGAGAACUAGGGCCCAACGACGGAAGGAG